CACCUAGCCACCAGUGCGCCAUGGGGGUCGCACCGCCGGCCAACGGGACGAAGCUGGAGGGGAUCCAAGCGAGGCGGUCGAUACAGAGGAUGCUUGCGACUCGGGAUACAAAGGAUGAGGCCGGUCUGCGUGGAUCGAGCUAAGGCGCCCGAGGGGACGAAGCUGAGGCGAGGCGCGUGAGGGGAUCCAGUCUGCGUCCGAGGGGGUGAAGCUGAGGCGGCGUGCGCGAGGAAUCCAGCGCGAGGGAAGGCGGUGCCCGGUAGAACCGACAUCCCUAGGCGAGCAGUCAUCGAAGAUGGUCGUCCUGCUCCCCCCCUCUUCACGCCGGAUAUUCCUUCACCUGUAGCGAUUCACUCGUAGAUUCAUCCUUCCCUUCGCACGACGUAGUUAUGACCCAGCUAGACCAGGACGCAUCAAUUCACAUCGUCCAUUCAUCUAUCUAGAUUUCUGCUGCUUGGCCAGGAGGAAUUAGACCAGGCAAGUCCAUGACGAAAGAACAAACAGGUUGUGAAUUAGAAUUAUUUACUGGCUCGAUAGCUUCCAGCAACACAUGAUUGGUUGAUCCUAGGAAGUCACAAACUAGGGCAUCGCCCUUGGUUGAUCGAGGAUCACUGAAAGGGGCAUUGUAUCAUCCGCAGCGACAACAGGGUCAUCGAUGUGCGCCCACAUCUGCCAGGCAACGGCCAACAGCAACCUGGGCACACUCCAAGGCUUCACAGGAAGCAAGUAUCCCAUCAUCUUAGUGUAUUUUUUAUUCAAUCUUUUAUUCUUCGUAAUUUCUGAUCUUCUCAAAUUGUCAAUUGAGUUUUCCUUUUAUUGUCCUUAAUUUACUGAUGUGUCUUAAGCAUUCCGUCAAACAUGAGCACUAAAUUACAUUGGUCAAUUUCCUUUGUUCUUGCAACAUAACUAAAUUAUUGGAGACAUUGUCGCUUGAAAGAUUAAUUUAUAAUUUUGUUGUCAUUACUUUAAAACUUCUUUGUCUUGAAAGCCCCUCCUCAGAUCCCUUAUAUCUGUUUUUGCAACUGUGCUGCUGCCAAUCUCUACUUUGUUAUUUGAUGAUUUGUGCAGCAGGGUAUGUCAGAAAAAAAAACAUUUUGAUCAUGUGACCUAUUACAUGUCUGAAUUUGUAGAUGAAGUCGAUGGUCUGGAGAACUUGAUAUUGAUUUAAUUAAAAUGUGAGGUUCCCAGCUCACUGAAUGCAUUCAUCCAUCUACACAAACUAUGGCCUCUAAUGAUUGCUGAGUAUCUUUGUUUUCUUGCGACUCUUUUUCCAUUUCAUAUUACCUAUUGCAAUUUAUUGUACUUAAUGUAUCCGAAUAGAGUUGAGCCAGUGCAAGUUAUGUGUAUUAGAGAUUAGCUCUUCUUGCCGAAAAUAUUUUGCCCAACUUUUUUGUUAUUGAAGGUGAUCACAAUCUUCUCAGAAUCUUUGAACCUUGGAGACGUAUACAGAUUCCGAGCAACAGCUAUUGGGUGGCGAUUGAAGCCGAUUCACCAUCGUUGAAACCAAUGAAGCAAUUCAUGGCAGCUAAUGUGAGCCACUUGCCGGUGCCAAUUAAUGGACGUACAUUAUUAUUCUGGCAACCUACACAUACUUGAGUUCAUGCGCUUAUAUAUAUGCUUUGUCACCUCAUGCUCUCACGUUCCCCUUCUUCUGGCAAUAGAAUCUCGAGCAGCGAUGUUUCGUGGCUAUUUUGCCCCUCUUAUCUUCCAGCUUUUUGCAGAAUUUGCCCUACAAUUUCAUCUUCCACUCAACUAUUCCGUCGAUCUCUUUUUGACCUUUACUUUUCAUGGGAAGUGUUCAUAUUGCUUAUUGUCUAUCGAUUUGGCGUAUUUUAGAGCUCCGUUCUCAUAUAUUGUUUGGAGUGUUCUUUAUCUGACAAUCUGCAAUGGUUCUCGGCCAGGUAAGGCUGUCAUACCUUGUCUCUUCAUGCUUCAGUAUCCAUGUAUUUAAAGGUUUUCAUCUCACAAUCUCUAGUGGAACUUAUUGAUAUGUAUGUGCAUCAACAUGACGUGGUACUAUUUGUUGCUGUAUGCAACACGUUACUUAGAAAUUAGAGUAUAGUCAAAUGGGCAGAAAAGAGAACUAGGUUGUUCUAUCCUUAAGCGAACAAAUACCAAAGCAUAUUCAUUUGGCAAACCUUCUGCAUAAUUAGUCACGUAAAUAGGAGCACCUUGUUUCAGAUGACAGCACUAUGGAACAUUUUUCUGCUGGAACGAAUAUGUGCAAAAGGAAUCCAGCUGGUUGAAACCAUGUGUUGCAGUGCAGGUGGUGUCUACUCACCAAAUCUUGUGGACAAACCUCCUGAUAUUGCAAACCUUAUGCGCUUUACUGGCGGCCGUGAAAGUCGUGAAUUUAUUGCCCAUUUUUUGUAUGUAUUAAACCUCUAUCAAAGAAACAAAUAGUCAAUCAACUCCACUAAUCUAUAUGAUCAAAUUUCAGCUUCCCUUUUCAUCUUUCCACGCUGCUUUCCAUGCGAUGCAGUUUGACUUUGAUUCGAAGUACUUGAUCCUGAAUGUAAACAUUGUUUUAGAUAGAAGACAUGUGAUGUAAGUUGCAUGGACAAGAUCUUUCUUUUGGCCUUUUCACAUUUGGCUUCUCAUUCCAAAAGCAGAGAGAAGAUCUUACUUCUUUGCAGGUGCAACUUAGUGGCCUGCAAGGGAAACUGCUUGAGAGAGAUGAAGCUGCGAGGUCAGUGGAUAGUUUGAUCGACCUGUGAUAAUAAUUCUUGAUGGGAAUAUGAAAUUAGCUAUUUCGGAAAACUGUAAUCGUGCUUGUUUGUUACACGUGUAUUGUAACAUCACCUGGAAACAUUUCCACAUUCCUUCUGUAUGUAUGAUAAAACUGUGGACUCAAUGUAGGUAAUCACUUCUUUA